CACUUGGGCUCAAACCUGAUCAAUAGCAAGAUACUCCUCCUGUGUGUGUGUGUUUCAGAUCAACUAAUGAGAGCACCUGUAGUGGUCUCUACUCCCUUCUGAGCCGUGCAUCAGGUUGCGUGUCUAAGUGCUUUAAUAUUGAUCUAUUUGAUGCUGCAAAUUGACCAGUGCAACUCUAAUCUGUACUUUUGAUGUAAAUUUGCUGAUGCCGUCAGCUUGCUGGUAAUUUGAGGGCAUUUCUGCACCGUUCACACAGAGAGGGGCGAUAAUUCAGAAUUAAUUAGGCUACGAUACACGGGGGAAGGCACAGCCCAUAAUAAGACAUUUAAAACAGGAUGGGAUCUGGUAUCCAAGUGCAGGGUAUCCAUAGAGACCGUUGCUAUGGCGGAGAGAAAUCUCACCUCAUUAGGAACAAAUAUAAAUAGCCCUGCGACUCAGCUUAUGGUCAUGAUGCCCACGGCUGAGAGAACAGGCUCAGAGGCUUCCAGGUCAACGAUACAGAAUGAGAGUGAGGAUGCGGAGAAAGAGGGAUUGAUAAAAGAAGGGAAUGAUUUAAGAGAAUUAGAAGGAAGCAAGAAAUGAAGGAGGUUUGAAAGGAGGGAGGGAAAAGAUUGAGUUCCUAAGGAUGGGAGAAACAGGAGGAGGAAGAUGUGUGUGUGUGUGGGAAAGAUAGACGAGAGAAAGAUUCACUGUUGUCUGAUGAAAAAAUCUCCCAAAUGUCAACCUGUUUGUUUUCAUACUUGAACUAAAAUUGGAUAAGGGAGCAUCAUGUUUUUAGUAAUAAAUGGUGAAACUAAAUUACAUGCAGUGUGCUUUACAAUGAAACAAAAAGAAAAGAAAUAAAAUCCAAGUGCAAAAGAAAGCACGCCUAAAAUAGCAUAAUGAGAAGGUGUGAAUGACUUGUGGAGAUAACUCUGAAUUAUUAUUUUUCUCCAAGAACUGAAUUUUGCAGAACUGGCGUUUUCUUUUUCCCAGCGACAAACAUAAUGAGCGAGGAGAGGAAAGAGGAGAGGAUGGCAGGAGUUGUGGGAGGAAAGAUGGUAGUGGGGGCUGUGAGAGAGGUUGACAGCCAAGUGGAGAGGAGACGGAGAGGAGACAGAUGGGAGCAAAGAGAAAACUCGAGACAUCCAACACUGAUUGCAUCAACAGGUCUGAGCCCCUCCAGUGUGUUUUCAACUAGGGAACAAAGGUGUCUGCGACUGAAAGAUAAAAACUGCGACAACUGAUGAAGAUGGUAUAGAGUUCAGACACACGUCUGUGUGGGCUGUCUAAUUGAGGAGAUUGUUUGAUUCCUCUCCCUCUGCAUUUCUCUCUCUGAAGACCUGUCAAACUCGCAAUCAGCGAAAACAACAUGCAUAGAAAGGAUUGGAGGAGCGGGAGGGAAAAAGAGUGGAGAUGGAAAGACGGCGUUUAAGAAGAAAAGGAGGGAGUUUACACCCACCGCCUAAAGAGAUGAGAAGAGAGGCAGAGGAGGGGAGAAUGUGUGGAGGAAGCAGUGUGUGAGUGCCAGAGCUCAUCAGCCUGUCAAACAUCCGUUAUAGACCACAAACCCACACAGCCAUCACACUGCCGAGGUCUAUCACUUAACAGGUGUACUUCUUUCACCUUCAUACACAUUUUCUUAUACACUCUGUUACAGUAUAUAUAUACGUGUGUGUGUAGGUGGCCACAUUUACACACAUCGAGUUGUCCACAGAGCGCAAACCCGUCUUGGAUGGUUUCAAUGCAUCCACAGUGAGUCACUCUCAUUGAUCAGAAAAUAAAACCAGUCAGGAGGAUUCUUCACACUGAUGCUUCCUUCACCCCACUCCUGAGCUCCUUACUGUUUUAGCUCUGCGCUGGCACAAUGUGAGUGCGCACUCUCAGCCCAACCCACGUUUGAACCCGUAUUAUUCCUCACUGUGCUCAUAGUUUUGUAAUUCUCACUGCUGACGCACUGCAUCUAAAUUCAUCAUCCACUUUUCCCUCGGUUACAUCAGGGCUUUGUACGCUUUUUUGCCUCACCGAACCCCAGAUAUAGGUACAGUUUAGACUACAGGUGCCCAAUCAAAUGAGGUUAUUUGUUUCUAAUGUGGAUGGGAAAUGAAGCACCAAAUGAUACCUCUAAUUAGGAUAGUCAAUACUCAUGAAGUCAGUGAAUUGAAACCUUCUCAAUGGGUAUCUUUUAUAUCCUAGACCCUACAUUGCAAUCUGUACUCCUAAAGUUUACUCCUUCUCUAGUCCCUACAGUGAUUUCAUUAACAAUUUCAACAGCUUCAGAUACAUUUGCAAGCAAAACAGCAGUGACAUCUGCCCGCAUCCUACCAAUGAGAACUGCAACGUCUGUGUUACUAAUGUAAAUGCUGUUGUGAUGCAGAACUGUGACUCUGGGUAGAUCUUACACUAUUUUAAGCUGUAACCUUUUUCAGAGGAUCUUUCAUUCACUGUUUAUCGUAUAAAAUGAGCUCCUGUGUGUAUAUUAACAAUAUUGAUAGCAUUCU
rnacentral:lncRNA from 1 species